ensembl:lncRNA
AUUAGCAUGCCCAAGAUGGGCAACUCAGUGAUGCCAUUUAUAGUUAAAACUAGACGUCCCAGGGAGUCAGGCUAGGGUCCUCCCACUAAACCACAUCUUUAUCUAGCUUCUUUCCUGCCCUGUCCAGCUUCUCUCUCUCCAACAAGCUACACCUGAAACACUCCCUCAUUAACUCACUUGCCCAGGAGCCUCUACUUCAGUUCCUAAGGAGCCUCCAAACUGAGCUCGGCCACAGUGAAAGGGGAAUAGGUGUGCUGAUAGCAGAGCAGGGGUCUUAUCAAAGGAUUAAGUAGCAUAGUCAAAAUGGAAGAAAUGGGACUUGAUCAAAGACCUGAAGAAGAUGAGAGACUCAGCCAAGAGGAGAAACACUGCAGGCAGAGGGCAGAGUUAGAGCAAGGCCCUGUGGUAGAGAGAAUAUCACGCUUCCAGAAGACCACAUCCUCAUCUGUAGAACUUGUGAACAUGUUAGGCUACAUAGCAAAGGGCAAUCACGGUUGGAUCAAGGCUGCCAAUCACGUGACCUUAAAGUAGCAUAGUCCUGGAUUACUCAGAUGGGCUCAAUGCAGUCCUAAGAGUCCUUGAAAGUGGGAGAGGGAGGCGGAAGAGGAAGUCAGGGGGAGGCAGGAGGUGGAGUCAGAGUCAGAGGAAGCUGUGCCUGUGGGGGAGAGACAGAAAAGAGUCAUGUUUCUGGCUUUGAAGACAGAGGAGAGGGUCAUGAGCCAAGAAAUGUGGACAGCCUCAAGAAACUGGAAAAGUAUGGCUGUAAUAUUGACCUGGAACCAUGUGUUGAAAAGACCAUCCUUUCCACGACGCUCAACUGUGUCAGCUGUAUUGUAAAUCAACAGAGUGCUUGCUGCAAGAUGAAGAUGAUGAAGCAACUGGAAUUGGAGUCUGCCAAGAGAAGCUUUGUUUUUACUCCCUUGGGUAAAGAAGUCAUGCACUUCCCUGGAUGCUCAGAUGGUAAAGAACCUGCCUGCAAUGUGGAAGACCUGGGUUCUAUCCCUGGGUUGGGAAGAUCCCCUGGAGAGGAGAAUGGCUACCCACUCCAAUAUUCUUACCUGGAGAAUUCCAUGGACAGAGGAGCCUGGUGGGCUACAGUCCAUGGGGUUGCACAGAGUCAAACACAACUGAGCAACUAACACUUUCACUUUUACAAAUAAGUCAUAGUAGCCAGUAAAAAUUAUUUGUCUGUUUACAAUUCUUCUUCUAGAUGUGAUAUGUGUUAAAGAGAUAAUAAAAUGCAGUACUCUAAAUCUCUGAGGUUGAGGAUCACGGAGAUGCAUUUUUUUUCCAAUAAAUUAAGUUGGCUUUUAUUUUAAGUUAGAUCACAAAAAUUUUAAUCCUACCAUGAAGUCUUUUAAAAAAAUAAUAAAAUACAUAGUAUA